GCUGGGUGUGAUGGCUCACACCUGUAAUCCCAGCACUUUGGGAGGCUGAGGCGGGUGGAUCACCUGAGGUCAGGGGUUCAAGACCAGCCUGACCAACAUGAAGAAACCCCGUCUCUA
ensembl:misc_RNA Metazoa_SRP Metazoan signal recognition particle RNA